UCACUGUCAACCAGUCAUCUCUCCUUGAUCCACUACCUGCCUGCCCCCUGAAUCCACUGUGAAGAAGCCCGGCCUCGGGAGACCACACGGGGGUCGUAAACGUCAAACAAACACCAGGUACAUGGGAUAGGUACCAAUACACAACAAACCACGUUCCAGCCAAUCACCAACAAGAUGGUU